rnacentral:misc_RNA from 1 species
GACGAAGAACGUAGCGAAAUGCGAUAAGUAAUGUGAAUUGCAGAAUUCAGUGAAUCAUCGAAUCUUUGAACGCACAUUGCGCCCGCCAGUAUUCUGGCGGGCAUGCCUGUUCGAGCGUCAUUUCAACCCUCAAGCCCCCGGGCUUGGUGUUGGGGAUCGGCGUGCCCUCGCGGCGCGCCGUCCCCUAAAUCUAGUGGCGGUCUCGCUGUAGCUUCCUCUGCGUAGUAGCAACACUCGCACUGGAUCGCAGCGCGGCCACGCCGUUAAACCCCCCACUUCUGAAAGUUUGACCUCGGAUCAGGUAGGAAUACCCGCUGAACUUAAGCAUAUCAAUAAGCGGAGGA